CCUAGCCCUAGAAGCACUGCAGCUGUGGCGGCCAUGUCACAUAUAGACCAGUACAUGUCCGAGAGGAAAGAGCCUGUGCGUAAGCUCAGUGUUCUGACCUGUGAACAUCUCAAUGAUUAGUAGCCUAACUUU